rnacentral:tRNA from 1 species
GCCGCUCUGGCGUUCAUUGCCGCGCCCUCCCACGGCGCGCGGGCCGGCGCGGCGCCGGAGGAGGCGC